CCUUGCUUACUUUGGAUCCCCCAUAUGUUCAGCUUUCACAAUCUAAGCUAAUGCAUGGCUUUAAUUAUGUGCUCUGUCAGGCCCCAGUCCAGAUUAAUGUGUGUGCAUGUGUGUGUCUGUGAUCAGUUACUUAUGUAUAAACGUGUGCGCAUGUGUAUGUUUGUGAUCAGUUACUUGUGUAUUAGUGUUUGUGCAUGUGUAUAUUGUAAUUAUUAUUCAUUAGUGGGUGUACAUGUGUUUGUGAUCACUUACUUAUGUAUUAACAUGUGUGCAUGUGUAUGUUGUGAUCAUUUAGUUCUGUAUCAAUUCUAGUCUUGGAAUUACAUUUAUUCGAGCACAUUGCCUUGCCCUCCUUCCUAGCAGGAGGAAUGGUGCUUUUUAGCACACAAGGGGACUUUCUUCUUACUUCUCUAAGGAAAAUGCCUCCAAAGUCAAGGCCAUAAACAAAGCCCAGGGCUCCAGGAAAUCUUCUGCUAAAGGAUUACAGGAAAGCAGCCCCACCACAUGCCCUGGAGUGUGGAGAUUGCCAAAAAAAAAAAAAAAAAA
rnacentral:lncRNA from 1 species